CGGCGGACGGGUGAGUAACGCGUGGGUAACCUGCCUCAUACAGGGGGAUAACAGUUAGAAAUGACUGCUAAUACCGCAUAAGACCACAGCACCGCAUGGUGCGGGGGUAAAAACUCCGGUGGUAUGAGAUGGACCCGCGUCUGAUUAGCUAGUUGGUAAGGUAACGGCUUACCAAGGCGACGAUCAGUAGCCGACCUGAGAGGGUGAUCGGCCACAUUGGGACUGAGACACGGCCCAA
rnacentral:rRNA from 1 species